UGAGGAAUAUUGCGCAAUGGGGGCAACCCUGACGCAGCAACGCCGCGUGAGUGAGGAAGGUUUUCGGACCGUAAAGCUCUGUCGAGCGGGAAGAAAUGCAUGCUGGCUAAUAUCCAUCAUGCUUGACGGUACCGCUAGAGGAAGCACCGGCUAACUCCGUGCCAGCAGCCGCGGUAAUACGGGGGGUGCAAGCGUUGUUCGGAAUUAUUGGGCGUAAAGAGCGUGUAGGCGGUUGGACAAGUCAGAUGUGAAAGCCCUGGGCUUAACUCAGGAAGUGCAUUUGAAACUGUUCAGCUGGAGUAAGGGAGAGGAAAGUGGAAUUCCUGGUGUAGAGGUGAAAUUCGUAGAUAUCAGGAGGAACACCGGUGGCGAAGGCGACUUUCUGGCCCUAUACUGACGCUGAGACGCGAGA
rnacentral:rRNA from 1 species